CCGUACGAGCGCACCCUUGCCCCUAGUUGCCAGCACUUCGGGUGGGAACUCUAGGGAGACUGCCGGUGAUAAACCGGAGGAAGGUGGGGAUGACGUCAAGUCAUCAUGGCCCUUAUGGGGAGGGCUACACACGUGCUACAAUGGCCGGUACAGAGGGCUGCGAAGCCGCGAGGUGGAGCGAAUCUCAGAAAACCGGUCGUAGUCCGGAUUGCAGUCUGCAACUCGACUGCAUGAGGCCGGAAUCGCUAGUAAUCGCGGAUCAGAACGCCGCGGUGAAUACGUUCCCGGGCCUUGUACACACCGCCCGUCACACCAUGGGAGUGGGCUGUACCAGAAGUAGGUAGUCUAACCUUCGGGAGGACGCUUACCACGGUGUGGUUCAUGACUGGGGUGAAGUCGUAACAAGGUAGCCCUAGGGGAACCUGGGGCUGGAUCA
rnacentral:rRNA from 1 species